rnacentral:rRNA from 1 species
ACUCCUGCGGGAGGCAACAGUGGGGAAUAUUGGACAAUGGGCGCAAGCCUGAUCCAGCCAUGCCGCGUGAGUGAUGAAGGCCCUAGGGUUGUAAAGCUCUUUCACCGGUGAAGAUAAUGACGGUAACCGGAGAAGAAGCCCCGGCUAACUUCGUGCCAGCAGCCGCGGUAAUACGAAGGGGGCUAGCGUUGUUCGGAUUUACUGGGCGUAAAGCGCACGUAGGCGGACUAUUAAGUCAGGGGUGAAAUCCCGGGGCUCAACCCCGGAACUGCCUUUGAUACUGGUAGUCUUGAGUUCGAGAGAGGUGAGUGGAAUUCCGAGUGUAGAGGUGAAAUUCGUAGAUAUUCGGAGGAACACCAGUGGCGAAGGCGGCUCACUGGCUCGAUACUGACGCUGAGGUGCGAAAGCGUGGGGAGCAAACAGGAUUAGAAACCCGUGUAGUCCCAUGA